UGGGGAAUAUUGGGCAAUGGGCGAAAGCCUGACCCAGCAACGCCGCGUGAGGGAAGAAGGCUUUCGGAUUGUAAACCUCUGUCGCAGAUGACGAAAAAAAUGACGGUAAUCUGUGAGGAAGCCCCGGCUAACUACGUGCCAGCAGCCGCGGUAAUACGUAGGGGGCGAGCGUUGUCCGGAAUUACUGGGCGUAAAGGGUGCGUAGGCGGUUCUUUAAGUUGGAUGUGAAAUACCCGGGCUUAACCUGGGGGGUGCAUUCAAGACUGGGGAACUAGAGUUCAGGAGAGGGAAGCGGAAUUCCUAGUGUAGCGGUGAAAUGCGUAGAUAUUAGGAGGAACACCAGUGGCGAAGGCGGCUUUCUGGACUGACACUGACGCUGAGGCACGAAAGCGUGGGGAGCAAACA
rnacentral:rRNA from 1 species